rnacentral:rRNA from 1 species
UACGAAGGGGGCUAGCGUUGCUCGGAAUUACUGGGCGUAAAGAGCUCGUAGGCGGUUUGUCGCGUCGAAUGUGAAAACCCGGGGCUCAACCCCGGGCCGCAUUCGAUACGGGCAGACUAGAGUUCGGUAGGGGAGUCUGGAAUUCCUGGUGUAGCGGUGAAAUGCGCAGAUAUCAGGAGGAACACCGGUGGCGAAGGCGGGACUCUGGGCCGAUACUGACGCUGAGGAGCGAAAGCGUGGGGAGCGAACAGG